ACUUAUCGAAGCGCUGCACCUCCUCCCGCGGCGCCCGAUGCGGAUCGGUGGCACUCCUCCUCCCAGUCACCGGUCAAGUUUGAGAGCCCCGUGCACCUCCUCCCGCGCGGGGCUCUUUUC
rfam:Ensifer adhaerens OV14 chromosome 1 sequence.